CAUCAGCCUGGACUGAAGCUGGAACCGCCCGCCUCCUUCCUACUUCUUCCUCCCCACGGCUCUCUCUCUCUGCUCAGAGCCCCUUAAAGCUUAAACCCUAACGGAGCAACAUUUGUAGCAGAGUGAAGAAAACCCAUAACUUUCACAUUAUGCUACCGUUUCUUUGGCUCUCCUUUCUCUCGUUAAUCUCCUAUACUUCAAUCCCGAUCUCUAGUGCGGAAGACUCGCCGUUGUCAUCGACGAUAUAUGAAGUCUUGCGGGAACAUGGGCUCCCCAUGGGCCUGCUUCCCAAGGGAGUGAGAGAGUUCGACAUCGACGAGACCGGGCGGUUUCAUGCCCACUUCGAUCAGGCCUGCAACGCCCAGUUCGAGAGCCAGUUGCAUUACGACCGGAACGUUUCGGGCACUCUAAGCUACGGUCAGAUCGGUGCCUUGUCCGGUAUUUCUGCGCAGGAGUUGUUUCUUUGGUUCCCGGUGAAGGGAAUCAGGGUGGAUAUACCCAGCUCCGGAUUGAUUUACUUCGACGUCGGCGUGGUUGACAAGCAAUUCUCUUUGUCGCUCUUCGAAACGCCGCUGGAUUGUAUGGCGAUGAGGACGGUGGAUCACGCUCAGCUUCCGGAUGGUAGCGGUUUUAUUGUAGCUGACGCAAUUCCCAAGUUUCAAACGCAGAUUCAAUCUGGGGAGCUACGAUAUCAGCUUGAUCAGGACAGUUCUGGAAGGGAUUUUGAGUAGAUUGUGACGGAGAGGGUGUCUAAGUUAUGUGGUAGUUCAAUCAAUCGGCUCAUGGGUUCUUUCAUUCCCCCUGUAAAUCUGGUCGGAGAAUAUGGAUGUGGGUUCUAUGCUUCCAUCCAAUGUGCGUGCUUGCAUUUUUUUAUUCCAUAUAGUUCAGAGUCGGCAAACUAGUCAGGCCAGCUCCUAUCUUUGAGAGGAUCGUUGAUGAAUUGAGAGGGAAAUAAACAAGGCUGGAUGGCAUAAUCAUUAAUCACAUUGGCGUUUUCUCCUGUAGAAGAUAAAAUGAGGCAUGGCCAUCUAGUGGAGAAAAUUUCAGGUGUCCACCGGUUUUGUUGAGGGACUUAUAUUUGAAUUGUUAUGCUCGGGUCUGAACCUUGAAGGAUUCUGUUUCGUUGUCAGAGAGUUUGAGCAGAAGGUUUGAAUAGUGAUGAUUAUUAGAGUAGAUUUCUGCUAUAGUUUAUCACAAUUUCAACAUUUCUUUUAUGGUUUGUUUUUCCGCUGGUGGUGUAGCUAGGCAAGGCCUCAAGAGUACUAAACGUGUUGCCCUUCUAUAGUAUUAUAAUCAUGAUGAUUUUCCAGAUUUAUGAUGGAAGGGCUGUGGUCUUUCAUGAAUUUUGAAGUUUUUGAAUUCAUGUUUAUAGAUUUUGAACUCUAUUCUUUUCUAAUAUCAUGGGAUGAAAUUUCGUAUA